GAUAUUUGCAAAAUUAUAGGGAAAUAUUCCCAAUAAAACUACUUGUCAAGUAUUUCCCUCUAUUGAAUCUCCUUGGUUUAAAUACACCAAGACUAAAUGAAAUUUUAUUUGAAGAAAUUGUAUAGCACUCUUUCACAGGCAUUGAAAAAGUUGAUGAACAAUGCACAACACACCAUACCAUAAGCUUAACUGGUACUUCGUGCCUGGUGAGCCAAAAAAUCAUUGUUCAUUCAUACUUGUUAUCCAAGGCACAGCCAACAUGGAAUAGGUAGAGAUUUGUAUUUUUGUAUAAAAUAAAAUGUUACGGAACUUUCCAAGAAUCGGUGUGAAAUCAUAAUCUGUAGUAAAAUUGAAGAAUUGUAUAAAUUUAAAGAGGUAUGGCGGAAAACAGCCAUCAAUAUAUAUAUGAAAAAACAGAUCGUAUUUCGGAAAUAUUCAUUUGUCCCGGAUUUGUACAAAAUACGUGUUUUGUGUAGUAAAAUUCGUAGUAAAAUGUCUCACGUGAUCAAACUUCAUUCAUGAGACUGGCUGAAUCGGAAAAAGUAUUAUGGAUGAUGUUGUCACGUGAUUUUAUGCUAUCUUCCAUACACAGUAAUCUCGCUGACCUGAACAUAUUCUUAGACACGUAGGACGCACACACUAGCGGAGCGAUACGCAUAGCAACCCGCCAUGUACCGCUUAAUUUCUUUCCCUUACUUGUAGCACCAAGGACUGGUACGUUUUCCUGUUGAGUGUCAAACUUCGAUGGUCGUACAUGUACGUUCUACGAACACUGAUAGCUGUGCAUCGAACAGAGCAGUCUACAUCGUCGAUAUUUCCCACAGAUGAUCCUGAUUAACUUCAACUAGCCGAAGACAAUAUCAGUGGAGGAGGCCAAAAGAGGCUAUCUAUAUUAAUUUUGGACAAAAAAUGUUGGAGAGAGCAGUUUUGAAUGAACAUUUUGUAGUGCUGGAGACAACAGCGGUUGGGAGCUUGUUCCACUCAACGAUGGUUCGGGGAAAGAAGAGUUGUUUUGUUGCAGAUUUUUAAGCUGAAUAUGUCAAAGUGUAUAUGAUACUGUAAAGUCCAAAUGGAAAGGUCCUUAAACAAAAUAUAUAACAGCACCAAAAUAAUCAAUACAUAAAGGAAUAAUGUACGGUUAUUACCAAAUGGCCAGGCGAUGAAUUCUUUCAUCAAAGCCAUGACAGCGUCGAUAACACAUGCGUUUGCCCUAGAGACGCUACUAACUGUGAUGUUGAACCGAUCGGCUAUUUCCCGAU